AUUGAACGCUGGCGGCAUGCCUUACACAUGCAAGUCGAACGGCAGCACGGGUGCUUGCACCUGGUGGCGAGUGGCGAACGGGUGAGUAAUACAUCGGAACGUACCUUAUCGUGGGGGAUAACGCAGCGAAAGCUGUGCUAAUACCGCAUACGCCCUGAGGGGGAAAGCGGGGGAUCGAAAGACCUCGCGCGAUUAGAGCGGCCGAUGCCUGAUUAGCUUGUUGGUGGGGUAAAAGCCCACCAAGGCGACGAUCAGUAGCUGGUCUGAGAGGACGAUCAGCCACACUGGGACUGAGACACGGCCCAGACUCCUACGGGAGGCAGCAGUGGGGAAUUUUGGACAAUGGGGGCAACCCUGAUCCAGCAAUGCCGCGUGAGUGAAGAAGGUCUUCGGGUUGUAAAGCUCGUUUGUCAGGGAAGAAACACCGGCUCUAACACAGUCCGGGAAUGACGGUACCUGAAGAAUAAGCACCGGCUAACUACGUGCCAGCCGCCGCAGUAA
rnacentral:rRNA from 1 species